CUUAGAUUUAAAUUUCACUUUUAAUUCGGCUAUCCUUCAAGCAGGUUGGACAUCGCUCCAACAAACUUUAACUUUAAGAAAGUAUUUUUUGUACAGUUUUUAUAAAACGUAAUGAAAUAAAAAUUUAAAUAAAAAACUUAAAGACAUUUAACUUGUACAAAGCACAUUGAUCUCUCCAACCAUCUCUCAAUUGCACAAAACAUAUGUGAAGAACUGAUGAAGACAGUUAGUGCUUUGAACCUUUACGCAUAUAGGUUGAUGAUUCGUGCUAAUGAAGACAACAACAUUCUCCGAUGCAGACAACAUCAUCAAUACAUUGUGGAUAUGUAUGUAAAAAACGAAAGUGAGAGAUUACGAUAUAUAAUAUAAAAUUUAAUCAAGUAAAACUUCGUACUUAGGUGUACAUUAAUUUGCGCGAUGCAAUAAUCGGUAACGUAGAUGCAACAAUUGACAUCAACAACAUCGAUAUUACAUAUAUUAAAAUUCUUACUAAACACAGCUUCUACAUUUCAUUUCAUUCAUACAGUAUAUGUAAGUUAAGAUAGCAAGUGUAGCCCCAUCUGUUUCCUUGGCUGCAGUGAGCGGCUCGAUAUUUCACCGGAUAAUAAGAAUCAUCACCACACAGCGCAUGCGCUCUCACAACAACAACGAUGCCUUGAUCCGAUGGAGUAUCAAUACAUCGCGCUCUAACCGCAAUGCGGCGCUUAAGAAGUAGGGAAAUAAUUGUUGCCUCGCUCACUAAUCCAAUUCAACCCGCAAGGCGUCAAUCGGUAUAUUUGUAAAAUGCUUGGUUGGUUGAUCGUGAGAUUGGAAGGAAAGAGCAGAAUAAAUUUGACUUGGGAACAAUUAAGUCGUGGGUUCUAUUAUUAACUGGCGCCCAACGUGGGGCCCGACGCUUAGCAAUCACCUUAAUUCGGCAAGCAGAAUUGCCAUAAAGGCAGAAGUGGACGGGACUCCAAAAAAUUACAGGACAUCAGCAUCCGUGACAUCGAGGGAACAUUCGCAGCAUCUAUUCCAGGAUAAAUUUAGGUUACAUCAGAGUAAAUUUGUAAGUAAAAAAUUAAAAUUGAUAAUGUGUGACUUACAAGCGGUGCUUAAAAUUAAAUUUUGAAAAUAAAAAGUUUAUAUUAAUACUAGCUGACCCGGCAGCCGUUGUCCUGCCUGAAA